UCAUCGUUUAAAAAAUGUUUCAACCUCAUUGGAGUUUCACUUUCAGUCACUGUGCAGACUCUUACCAGAAAUUCUCUUUCAAGAAAAUGUGACUCAAGUUUUGUCUGUUUUUAUGUGAAAUGAUCUGAGAUCUGAUUUCAGUAUGUUAAAAGGACACGACCACACAGAGAAGUUCUGUGGAGACAUAAAUUUUCUUCUGAUAGGGACAAACAGAUGGUGUAAGUGUCUGGUGGGAAAUAAAAUUGUUGGGUACGAUCAUUUCCUGCCAGAGCAGUCAACAUCUGAUGAAGAGAUAUCACUGCAGAUAGGAGCCAGAUGGAUUACUGUUAUUCAAGAGUCUCAGGCUGUAAUUCAGAGGUAUAUGGAGACAUCAUCUAGGUGUCCAUGUAUGAUUUUAUUUGUUCUGCAGCGUGAACAUGUUUCUCAGAGGGAUAUGGAAACAUUUGCACGUUUUCAGCAAAAGUUCGGAAAGAAAAUGGAGGACAACACUGUUGUUGUUCUGAUCACUAGCGAAGAUAAGACAUCAGUAAGGCCAAACAAAGAAACAGAUGAGAACCUGGAUAGCAUUCUCUAUCAAUGUGGAAGGAAAGUGUAUGUUUUUAAGAAAAAUCUGAAGCAAUGUGACUUAAUAAAACAACUGAUUGCAUGUUGCAAAAGUACGCCUGAGCUGCAAGUACACAAGCAUGAAAGAUCAUCACACAGGACCACACCUGUGGAAAGGGAGAUGUGGAAUCCACCGGAACCAGUGCCACAACAGCAUAUAUCAGGUAAUGUCCGUUAUAAUAUCAUAAUCUAUAAUAAGUCAUGAACAAAAACAUAAUCCACAUUUCUACCUGCUUUUCCUAGUCCUAAUUUUUUAGACUUAGAGGAGAACUUUUCAUGUAAAGAGAGGAGACAGUCAAUUACUGAUUUGUUAGAUACUUACAAGACUAUCACAAGUCUUUCUCACAAUUUCAAUAAAAUCUCAGCUAAGUGCCUUUACCUUGGUGACAUAUUUAAAGGGGUGGUUGAUUAUGAUUUCACUUUUUUAACUUUAGUUAGUAUGUAUGUUAGAGCAUGAACAACGUCUGCAAAGUUACGAUGCUCAAAGCACAUGCUAGUCGACGAGUUGAAUCAACUCCACAGCAACUACAUAAAUUUAUCCACUAACCAUUCAGAAUCAUCCAGAUUCAUUCUAAAUGUUGUAACUUCUUCCUGAGUCUCUCCAUCAGUGUCCGACUCCGGUUUGAACAAUGUAAGGCUGAACACCAUUACUGACAAUCGUGAUUUUGGCUGCGUGAGAUUCUCCAGCUUUGUUGAUGAUGAGCAACCGAAGCGCCAACUGUUAAAACUCCACCCUCUUCUGGAAAGCUGGUGGGAGCAAGCAGCUCAUUUGCAUUUAAAGGGACACACGCAAAAACUAUGUGUUUUUGCUCAAACCCAAAUAGGGGCAAAUUUGACGAGCUAUAAUAAAUGAUCUGUGGGGUAUUUUGAGCUGAAACUUCACAGACACAUUCUGGGGACACCAGAGACUUAUAUUACAUCUUGUAAAAGGGGCAUUAUAGGUCCCCUUUAAAUCAGUUCAAUACUUCACACAAAAUUAAAAGUCUAAAUUUUGGCAUAAUAACACACAUAUAAGAUCCACGAAAAUAGAGAUGAAGUACGCAGCACUAGCUCUGAACUUUGAGCCAGUACAGUAGAUAUCAGAUAUUGAAUGUAGGUCAGUACACAUUCUCUAUCAGGUGGAGAUUACAAGCUUUUUAGACAGAAGAUUUUACUGUCCAAGUAUUCUUAAGCCAUGUAAAAUGAUGUACCAAGACAAAGAUGAAGAAUAGCAAUGGACUGCACAGCACAGUGAAAAGUUAAAGGAUUAGUUCACUUUAAAAUGAAAAUUACC